rnacentral:rRNA from 1 species
ACACGUGGUAUCCUGUCUGAAUAUGGGGGGACCAUCCUCCAAGGCUAAAUACUCCUGACUGACCGAUAGUGAACCAGUACCGUGAGGGAAAGGCGAAAAGAACCCCGGCGAGGGGAGUGAAAAAGAACCUGAAACCGUGUACGUACAAGCAGUGGGAGCACAGGUUUACCUGUGUGACUGCGUACCUUUUGUAUAAUGGGUCAGCGACUUAUAUUCUGUAGCAAGGUUAACCGAAUAGGGGAGCCGGAGGGAAACCGAGUCUUAAUUGGGCGUUAAGUUGCAGGGUAUAGACCCGAAACCCGGUGAUCUAGCCAUGGGCAGGUUGAAGGUUGGGUAACACUAACUGGAGGACCGAACCGACUAAUGUUGAAAAAUUAGCGGAUGACCUGUGGCUGGGGGUGAAAGGCCAAUCAAACCGGGAGAUAGCUGGUUCUCCCCGAAAGCUAUUUAGGUAGCGCCUCGUGAAUUCAUCUCCGGGGGUAGAGCACUGUUUCGGCUAGGGGGCCAUCCCGGCUUACCAACCCGAUGCAAACUGCGAAUACCGGAGAAUGUUAUCACGGGAGACACACGGCGGGUGCUAACGUCCGUCGUGAAGAGGGAAACAACCCAGACCGCCAGCUAAGGUCCCAAAGUCAUGGUUAAGUGGGAAACGAUGUGGGAAGGCCCAGACAGCCAGGAUGUUGGCUUAGAAGCAGCCAUCAUUUAAAGAAAGCGUAAUAGCUCACUGGUCGAGUCGGCCUGCGCGGAAGAUGUAACGGGGCUAAACCAUGCACCGAAGCUGCGGCAGCGACACUGUGUGUUGUUGGGUAGGGGAGCGUUCUGUAAGCCUGUGAAGGUGUGUCGUGAGGCAUGCUGGAGGUAUCAGAAGUGCGAAUGCUGACAUAAGUAACGAUAAAGCGGGUGAAAAGCCCGCUCGCCGGAAGACCAAGGGUUCCUGUCCAACGUUAAUCGGGGCAGGGUGAGUCGACCCCUAAGGCGAGGCCGAAAGGCGUAGUCGAUGGGAAACGGGUUAAUAUUCCCGUACUUGGUGUUACUGCGAAGGGGGGACGGAGAAGGCUAUGUUGGCCGGGCGACGGUUGUCCCGGUUUAAGCGUGUAGGUGUGUGUUCCAGGUAAAUCCGGUUCACUUUAACACUGAGGCGUGACGACGAGGCACUACGGUGCUGAAGCAACAAAUGCCCUGCUUCCAGGAAAAGCCUCUAAGCAUCAGGUAACAUCAAAUCGUACCCCAAACCGACACAGGUGGUCAGGUAGAGAAUACCAAGGCGCUUGAGAGAACUCGGGUGAAGGAACUAGGCAAAAUGGUGCCGUAACUUCGGGAGAAGGCACGCUGACACGUAGGUGAAGUGAUUUACUCAUGGAGCUGAAGUCAGUCGAAGAUACCAGCUGGCUGCAACUGUUUAUUAAAAACACAGCACUGUGCAAACACGAAAGUGGACGUAUACGGUGUGACGCCUGCCCGGUGCCGGAAGGUUAAUUGAUGGGGUCAGCGCAAGCGAAGCUCCUGAUCGAAGCCCCGGUAAACGGCGGCCGUAACUAUAACGGUCCUAAGGUAGCGAAAUUCCUUGUCGGGUAAGUUCCGACCUGCACGAAUGGCGUAAUGAUGGCCAGGCUGUCUCCACCCGAGACUCAGUGAAAUUGAACUCGCUGUGAAGAUGCAGUGUACCCGCGGCAAGACGGAAAGACCCCGUGAACCUUUACUAUAGCUUGACACUGAACAUUGAGCCUUGAUGUGUAGGAUAGGUGGGAGGCUUUGAAGUGUGGACGCCAGUCUGCAUGGAGCCGACCUUGAAAUACCACCCUUUAAUGUUUGAUGUUCUAACGUGGACCCGUUACCCGGGUUGCGGACAGUGUCUGGUGGGUAGUUUGACUGGGGCGGUCUCCUCCUAAAGAGUAACGGAGGAGCACGAAGGUUGGCUAAUCCUGGUCGGACAUCAGGAGGUUAGUGCAAUGGCAUAAGCCAGCUUGACUGCGAGCGUGACGGCGCGAGCAGGUGCGAAAGCAGGUCAUAGUGAUCCGGUGGUUCUGAAUGGAAGGGCCAUCGCUCAACGGAUAAAAGGUACUCCGGGGAUAACAGGCUGAUACCGCCCAAGAGUUCAUAUCGACGGCGGUGUUUGGCACCUCGAUGUCGGCUCAUCACAUCCUGGGGCUGAAGUAGGUCCCAAGGGUAUGGCUGUUCGCCAUUUAAAGUGGUACGCGAGCUGGGUUUAGAACGUCGUGAGACAGUUCGGUCCCUAUCUGCCGUGGGCGCUGGAGAACUGAGGGGGGCUGCUCCUAGUACGAGAGGACCGGAGUGGACGCAUCACUGGUGUUCGGGUUGUCAUGCCAAUGGCACUGCCCGGUAGCUAAAUGCGGAAGAGAUAAGUGCUGAAAGCAUCUAAGCACGAAACUUGCCCCGAG